rnacentral:rRNA from 1 species
UUUCUUGUAACACUUAGUGGCGGACGGGUGAGUAACGCGUGAGCAACCUGCCUUACAAGGGGGGACAACAGUUGGAAACGACUGCUAAUACCGCAUAACAUAGCGAGUGGGCAUCCACAUGCUAUCAAAGGAGCAAUCCGCUGUAAGAUGGGCUCGCGUCCGAUUAGCCAGUUGCGGGGUAACGGGCCCACCCAAAGCGACGAUCGGUAGCCGGACUGAGAGGUUGAACGGCCACAUUGGGACUGAGACACGGCCCAGACUCCUACGGGAGGCAGCAGUGGGGAUAUUGCACAAUGGAGGAAACUCUGAUGCAGCAACGCCGCGUGAGGGAAGAAGGUUUUCGGAUUGUAAACCUCUGUUUUGGUGAAGAAACAAAUGACGGUAGCCAAAGAGGAAGCCACGGCUAACUACGUGCC